rnacentral:rRNA from 1 species
UACAGAGGUCCCAAGCGUUGUUCGGAUUCACUGGGCGUAAAGGGUGCGUAGGCGGCUUGGUAAGUUUGAUGUGAAAUCUCCGGGCUUAACCCGGAAAUGGCAUUGAAUACUAUUGAGCUGGAGGUUUGGAGGGGGGACUGGAAUUCUCGGUGUAGCAGUGAAAUGCGUAGAUAUCGAGAGGAACACCAGUGGCGAAGGCGAGUCCCUGGACAACACCUGACACUGAGGCACGAAAGCUAGGGGAGCAAACAGG